UAACAAUAUAUUAAAGUAUUCAGAUAUUGUAAAACAUUUUGAGGAGGGAAUUGGUCUCACAAUUUAUUACUUAUUUUCAACAGUUUGGCGAACGGUUGCACGCAUUCGUUCGUGAGCCGAUGGAAAUUGAACACACUUAAGAAAUAAUCAACACAGAAGCUGUGUACAAGUUGCAAAUCCGUGAUGAAAUGUUUCUGUUUUUUUCAACAUAAGGUCUGAAUUUAUAACUUCCAAUACUUUCUGAAUCGCAAAAUUAAUAUCAUCGACAUUUGUUGAUCAAGUUAUGUGAAAAUACUAUGGUCGCGACUUAAAGAUUUGGACUAUCUUUUGUGCUACUUUUUUCUAGCGUGCAGGUUGUUGUGUUUAUUUUGCUAGAGAAAAAAAGUAAAAAAAACUUCCAAACUGCCUAUUUUUUGGUUCCCGUUUCAUCGUCGUCGGACAAAAACCAGCCGAAAGUUAUAUUAAACAUUGUUUAAUUGCGUUUUCGUUCCGGUAGUGUAGUGUGUUUUAGUCAAUGUGGCUUUCCGGUCUUUUGGAUUACCUGUCCUCCAGCAGUCGGAUCCAUUCUGAUGAAAUAAAAUUGCAGCGGAAACCGAAGACGAGGUGUAAAAGGCCAUCCGUGAGCGGAUGAAGAAGCGCCAAAGUCGCCGAAUGUCGUUCCACGAGCGACAAACAAGUUCCGAUGUUAGUUCGGACGAAAGCGACGGCGACAAUAAGAAAGGGGAGGAAGUCCCGAUUGCAAGUGACGGGGACACAAACGAGGAGGAAAUAAAAGAUGAAAGUCGGGCCAUGUCUCCGGCCAAUCGUUUAAGCCUAUCCGGAAUUGCCCCGAAAGAUCUCAACGAAGAUGACAACGAAGAUGAUGAUUAUGAAGAUGUGGUUCUGGUGGGAAAUUAUUUGAAAAAGUGGACGAUACUUUCAAAGAUCCACAGAGGCACAAUGUCUGAUGGUCCAACACCGGUGAAAAGACGAGGCCAUUUAAGAAUAACAUUAGUGUUCUGAAGGAGAUUAUAAAACGAAGCCAAACUUUGAUUUUUCAAGUGCAAAAGACGAGAGAAUCUGACUACAGUUCACGUUGAAAACCAAUCAAAUUGCUUGCUUGCUGGUGGUGACCAGUUAGAUAAAUUUCCAACGCUGUUUGGUUCUCAAGUCUUGUGUUCUUGAAAAUUUGAGGUGUGGCUUCGUUCUAUAAUCACCUGAACGUAGCUCUGACAUAAUAAAUUGAUAAGAUCUACGAAUCAAUCCGUUUUUUAGUGCAUAAAUAGUUUUUUUUAGAAGAAAUACAAUAAAAGAUAAAAUUAUAA